rnacentral:lncRNA from 1 species
UUCAUCAGAGUACAGUCAUCCAAUUGCACUCAAAUAUCUACUACAAAUUCGUGAAUGGAUCCAAGCGAGCUUCAAGGGCAGCUCGGGAAACAAUUCCUCACUAUCAUAACAUUUGUGGGGAAAUGGGUUGGUUUGAGUUCCAUAAAACUUAGUAAGAGAAAUAAUAUUUAAACCACACUACUAAAGUUUUAAAAGUUGUUUAUUUUUAAAACAUGUUGUUACCUUCAUAAUCAAUGACUUACCUAUAC